GUACUUUCCCCCCAUACUCGCAUGUUUAGCUCUGCUUAAGUCUACUGAUAAUCUGUCACUUAUAUCAUCAGAUGGAGUAUUUCAAGCCUGAGUAAUGUGAUUCAGCUCUACAGCACGGAAGAAGGAAGAAAAAAGCAAUGUUCUCCCGCAACCGCUGCAAUGGUCAGGAUGGUACGGGCAUCCCUCAGUAUCCCCGACCCAAAAAGAAAACUGCAGUGCCAAAGAGAAGGCAGCCAAAUCCCAAAGUUGCUCUGGUGUUGCGUGGGAAAAUUCAUCGUUUCUUGCAGGGAUCUGCAGAUCAUACUGUCCAGCCUUCUGGUCUUUACUACUCUGGAAUUGAAGAAGAGGAUGAAGAGGGGGAAGAGGAUGUUGAAAAAUUGCAGAAUUACUACAGGAGAGGAUUAGCUUCAGCAGAGGUCUGCUGCUCACCUGAGGUGCCAAAUGGACAUGGGCUGGGAGCAGUUUCUGGGGCACCUUGCGUUGGGGAAGUGGAACUAAAUCGAGAAGGAGGCAUCAGGAUUCCUUGCACUUUGCAGCAUAACAGUAAUUCGACAGUAGUUCAAAACCAAAUGACCCAAGGUCUAAAUGGGACUGGGUUUUCAUCUGAAAGAGGACUUGAUGGUGAGCCUAAAAGACAGACAGAUACUCUGCUGUGCAGGCUGAAUAUGACGAUGCUGGAUGAAGUCAUGGAGGGGAAUAGUCAGGACUGUCAAGAGGAAGAAUCGAGUGAUAUCGUUGAGCACAUACUGAAGGAAUUGCGAGGGAUCAACAAAAUUCAAGAGGAGAUUUCAGACUUGAGGGAAUACCUGUCAUCUGUUUGUGGUUCUGUCGAGGAGGUCUCUAGCUGUGUGGAUGCCGUCUUAAUGGAGAUUGAAUGCAUGCGGUCUGGAAGCAAAUCUGGUGUAGAGACUUGGCCAGGAGCAAUGGGUGGCACUGAGAGUUACUCCCACCACACACACAAAUCAAAUAACACUGUUAGUAAAGGCUGCUACAAGCCUUACGCUGUUGAAUCCUCAAGUAGCUGUG
ensembl:lncRNA